AAUCAACGCUGGCGGCGUGCCUAACACAUGCAAGUCGAACGAGAAAGUGGAGCAAUCCAUGAGUACAGUGGCGCACGGGUGAGUAACACGUGACUAACCUACCCUUGAGUGGGGGAUAACUGAGGGAAACCUUAGCUAAUACCGCAUAAUACCUACGGGUCAAAGGAGCAAUUCGCUUAAGGAGGGGGUCGCGGCCGAUUAGUUAGUUGGCGGGGUAAUGGCCCACCAAGACGAUGAUCGGUAUCCGGCCUGAGAGGGCGCACGGACACACUGGAACUGAAACACGGUCCAGACUCCUACGGGAGGCAGCAGUGGGGAAUUUUGCGCARUGGGGGAAACCCUGACGCAGCAACGCCGCGUGGAGGAUGAAGUCCUUCGGGACGUAAACUCCUUUCGAUCGGGACGAUUAU
rnacentral:rRNA from 1 species